UGGCACGCAAGUCCUGGUAACGCUCUUCCAGAUCAGACCAUUCCUUCAUGAUCUGUUAUAAUGAAAGAGUAGCAUAGUGAAAAUGACUUCUUUCUACUAAGGUCUCACUAAGUGUAAUUCUUACCCUUUUUAUCAGGAAUCUACUAAAAGCAUUUUCGAAAGAAAAGAUUUUCAAGAUUAGCAAAUUUUCCUUGAAGUGAGUGGACUCACCUUGGACACCUUCUCACGGUGGCGCUCCUCAAGCCGCUGCUCCGCCCGACGGAAGGCAUCGUGCUCUUCAUGGGGGUCAAAUCUGCUGAAGUAUUCAUCCCUGGCGCCAACCUCCUACACGGAUUGAGGCAGAGAAUUUCCAAGACAGCUUGAGUGAGUGAGGAUGGAAGUUAGAACCAGACUCAGCACUCGUAUUGAGUUAACUUGUGUCGCCGCGUCACCCGAGGCCAAGCAGCGCGCCUAAAAACGGACGUGGGAUGAGAAAGUGGACACUUCGGCGCCUUGUCUACCGCUCUCCCCAUCCUCGCCGAUAAAAUAAAAGCCCUCAAAAUCUAUUUAUACACGUGAUUUGACUCGAGUUGCAUCCUUUUACUGGGGGUGAGUUGUCAGGUCUAUUGUUCAGACGUUUCAAUCCGUGUGUGUGUGUGUGUGUGUGUGUGUGUGUGUGUGUGUGUGUGUGUGUGUGUGUGUGUGUGUGUGUGUGUGUGUGUGUGUUUUAUGUUUGAAAGCGAGAACUGGCUGGCUGGCUGGAUGGCGUGGAUGUCCCCUCUUGGUGCUUUGUGUCAUCUUAUGGUUCACCCCUUCAGUACCAGGACGCGUUUCCAUUUUCAUUCUGGUUACUAUAUGGUGAUUUUACACACCUUCAAAAACUUAGGUGGGGAUUAAAAUAGUGAAGACUCUAGCCAUUAAUCUUUUGACCUCCAUGGACCCUCCCUAAUGUCAAUAAAAUCGUCUAAUCAUACCCAAACCCGAGAUAAAAAUGCGCUCUAUUGCUGAAGGGAUUAAGUUAAUGUAGACUUCCACUUGAUUACUCGUGGAAGACGGAUAUUCGAACCGACUCACUCUAGGAAACUCCUCACUUUAUUCUU